rnacentral:rRNA from 1 species
AAGAUGACUCUCGGCAACGGAUAUCUCGGCUCUUGCAUCGAUGAAGAACGUAGCAAAAUGCGAUACGUGGUGUGAAUUGCAGAAUUCUGUGAACCAUCGAGUUUUUGAACGCAAGUUGCGCCCAAUGUCAUUUGGCUGAGGGCACGCCUGCCUGGGCGUCACGC